rnacentral:rRNA from 1 species
UACGUAGGGCGCAAGCGUUGUCCGGAAUUAUUGGGCGUAAAGGGCUCGUAGGCGGUUUGUCGCGUCGGGAGUGAAAUCCACUGGCUUAACUGGUGGCUUGCUUUCGAUACGGGCAGACUGGAGGUAUGCAGGGGAGAACGGAAUUCCUGGUGUAGCGGUGAAAUGCGCAGAUAUCAGGAGGAACACCGGUGGCGAAGGCGGUUCUCUGGGCAGUAACUGACGCUGGAGGAGCGAAAGCGUGGGGAGCGAACAGGA